rnacentral:rRNA from 1 species
CGGCAGCACAGUAAGAGCUUGCUCUUACGGGUGGCGAGUGGCGGACGGGUGAGGAAUGCAUCGGAAUCUACUCUGUCGUGGGGGAUAACGUAGGGAAACUUACGCUAAUACCGCAUACGACCUACGGGUGAAAGCAGGGGAUCUUCGGACCUUGCGCGAUUGAAUGAGCCGAUGCCCGAUUAGCUAGUUGGCGGGGUAAGAGCCCACCAAGGCGACGAUCGGUAGCUGGUCUGAGAGGAUGAUCAGCCACACUGGAACUGAGACACGGUCCAGACUCCUACGGGAGGCAGCAGUGGGGAAUAUUGGACAAUGGGCGCAAGCCUGAUCCAGCCAUACCGCGUGGGUGAAGAAGGCCUUCGGGUUGUAAAGCCCUUUUGUUGGGAAAGAAAAGCAGCCGGUUAAUACCCGGUUGUUCUGACGGUACCCAAAGAAUAAGCACCGGCUAACUUCGUGCCAGCAGCCGCGGUAAUACGAAGGGUGCAAGCGUUACUCGGAAUUACUGGGCGUAAAGCGUGCGUAGGUGGUUGUUUAAGUCUGUCGUGAAAGCCCUGGGCUCAACCUGGGAAUGGCGAUGG